CCUACGGGCGGCAGCAGUGGGGAAUAUUGCUCAAUGGGCGGAACCCUGAUGCAGCGACGCCGCGUGAGUGAAGAAGUAUCUCGGUAUGUAAAGCUCUGUCUGCAGGGAAGAAGAAAUACGGUACCGGACCAAGAAGCACCGGCUCACUACGUGCCAGCAGCCGCGGUAAUACGUAGGGGGCAAGCGUUAUCCGGAUUUACUGGGUGUAAAGGGAGCGUAGGCGGUAGGGCAAGUCUGGAGUGAAAGACAGGGGCCCAACCCCUGGACUGCUGUGGAAACUGUCCGGCUGGAGUGCAGGAGAGGUAAGUGGAAUGCCUAGUGUAGCGGUGAAAUGCGUAGAUAUUAGGAAGAACACCAGUGGCGAAGGCAGCUUACUGGACUGUAACUGACGUUGAGGCACGAAAGCGUGGGGAGCAAACAGGAUUAGAUACCCCGGUAGUC
rnacentral:rRNA from 1 species